rnacentral:lncRNA from 1 species
UUUCUAUUACAGAAUAUUGUGCAUUCACAACAUGUAAUAAGAAGAACACUCAAGAAAGCAAGAUCAAGAUUUCCUUAACAGUUACAAUGUCAAUAAAGAAAUUAUUCUCACUUCAGAAUACCUAUCAUCACAUGGUUGUUACGAGGUUUCAAUGUUAAAAUGAAUUCAGAAGUUAUAAUAGUGAUAGGCUUAUGUUACUGGACAGUGGUCCGGAUCCACACCCCAGGAGAGGUUCUCGGAUCUCACGCAAAAAUAAUUCAGGGUGAUACAGUAAAGUGAAAGCAAAUUUAUUAGGAAAAUAAAGGGAUAAAGAAUGGCUACUCCACAGACAUAGCAGCCUUGAGGACUGCUGGUAGCACAUUUUUAUGGUUUUUUUUCAUGAUUAUAUGCUAAACAAGGGGCAGAUUAUUCAUGCCUUCCCUUUUUAGACCAUAUAGGGUAACUUCUUGACUUUGCCAUGGUAUUUGUAAACUGUCAUGGCACUGGUGGGAGUGUAGCAGUGAGAACAACUGGAGGUCACUCUCGUCUCCAUCUUGGUUUUGGUGGGUUUUAGCCAUCUUCUUUACUGUGACCUGUUUAAUCAGCAAGGUCUUUAUGACAUGUGUCUUGUGCUGACCUCCUAUCUUAUCCUGUGACGAAGAAUGCCUUAACCUCAUGGGAAAGCAGCACAGAAGGUCUCAGCCUCAUUUUACACAGCCCCUACUCAAGAUGGAGUUGCUCUGGUUUACCUGCCUCUGAAACCUAUAACAUUUGAGAACUUUGUCUUUUAUUUCAAUAAUAUCAGCAAAUAAUAUGUUAGACUAUCUAUUAUGUAGGAAAUUUUGUGAUAUAGUAAUAUAUUUAUGCUUUUAAAGUGAUUUAAUCAUAAAAGUACAAUUUUACAUCAGAUUAUGCAACUUAGAUAUAAAUAUCAAUCCAAAGUCAACAAAGAUCAAUUGUAAUUGCUUGAGUAACAAUUUUUAAAAUACUUAUGUCAUUUGGAAAUAGUAUCUCGUUUAACAGUCAUAGAAACCUUGCCAGAUCCAAAGAAAAUGUAUUAUUGUUUUCACUUUCUAGGUGAGGACAUAACUUCAGUAAUUGCAGUCCAUAAUAACCCUGGAAUCAGGGCUUCAGUUCUGCCUUCACUAUCUUGCAUUGAAAUUUAAGAUUAAUAUAUUCACAUUGCUUGAGGCAAAAAGCAGACACAUCUCAUGUCUAUCAAGAUUUUUAUGCUUUUUGGUUAACUUUAUCAAAAUUAACAUUAUGCUGAUUUUUUAGGUAAAGAGAUGAUAAAAUAACUAUUUCCUUAGGCAUUUUCUAGCGUUUGGAAGGUCACUUGAGAGGUCUUAUGCUGCAUAGGCCCAGGUUUUGGACUAUAUUCACAAAUAUAAAAAUACCAUCCUUUGGAUAAUGUCUGGGAAUGUUGCUCAUCUAUGAGUGGCACAUUCUCCUAUCCAACUCCCUAAUUGAACUUCUGCUUUAGAAGACAUUGUGCUGUCUCUUGGUAGUAAUGACCUUGUCCUAGAAGAGAUGUUUCCUAAAUAGAAAAAAAGAAAAGCACUCAAAUAAUAUCUGUAGAUAGUAUAAAAAUGUAAUAUAUUUUGAAAACAAGAUUUUUUUUCAAGUUCCAGUCAAUUUUAUUCACAGGCAGCUGAAAGUUGGAUUUGCAUCAGAAUAUUUUACAGCCUUCCUAACAGCCUUUUAGAAGUUAAUCCAGUUUUCACCACAAUAAACUUGCAUAGUCUUUGAAAUAUUGAGACACAAUUCCCUACAUAAACAUUUGUUAUAGUAAAAAAUUUUUCAGAAAAGAAAUACAAAACAAACUAUGAGAUAAGCUGAUACAUCAAUGAACAAAGAACAAGAUUCGUGGAAUGUCAUUCAUGAUCUCAUGAAUAACAUUCAACAUCAAGAUCUUCAUGAUCAAGUGGUCAAGUUCACUUAGGCAGCUUCAGGGUCUUUUGUCAAGGCUGAAAUAUAUUUUUUUUUACAGAAGUCUUAGACAGCAUUCACUGUAUUACUUAUUUCAUCCAUGCUA